AAAGAUUUACUCAUAUAAAU
rnacentral:snRNA from 1 species